rnacentral:rRNA from 1 species
AACGAACGCUGGCGGCAUGCCUAACACAUGCAAGUCGAACGAAGCCUUCGGGCUUAGUGGCGCACGGGUGCGUAACGCGUGGGAAUCUGCCCCUCGGUUCGGAAUAACAGUUAGAAAUGACUGCUAAUACCGGAUGAUGACGAAAGUCCAAAGAUUUAUCGCCGAGGGAUGAGCCCGCGUAGGAUUAGCUUGUUGGUGGGGUAAUGGCCCACCAAGGCGACGAUCCUUAGCUGGUCUGAGAGGAUGAUCAGCCACACUGGGACUGAGACACGGCCCAGACUCCUACGGGAGGCAGCAGUGGGGAAUAUUGGACAAUGGGCGAAAGCCUGAUCCAGCAAUGCCGCGUGAGUGAUGAAGGCCUUAGGGUUGUAAAGCUCUUUUACCUAGGGAUGAUAAUGACAGUACCUGGAGAAUAAGCUCCGGCUAACUCCGUG